GUCCUGUGUGGCUCAGUUGGUAGAGAGAGCAUGGUGCUUGCAACACCAGGGUUGUGGGUUUGAUUCCCACAGAGGACA